UACUGUUCAUUAGCUCCUCUUUCUCUGCAAUCAGACCAUCUAUCUCCACGCCUAAAAGUUUAAGUUUGCUCUCAAGUAAAUGUUUUUCUUCAGUCAAGGUGCUAUUUUCAGCUUUUGUUUUAGCAAUAGUUGCCUUCAGUUGAGAACAUUCAGUACCUAAAUUCUGCUCACAUGCUUUCAGGUUAUCAUUCUCCCUUGAGAGCAUCAAAUUCUCAUUCUUCAUCUUCUCAAUCUCUGAUAACAAGGUCUGCACUUCUUUCUCAGCUAGCUGGGCCUUCUCGAGUUGGGAUGACAAGAAGGUGCAUUUCUCUUGGUGUACUGUAACCUCAUUAUACAUAUUGGUCUUUGCCGCUUCAAGGUUUUCCACGGCUUCCUGCAGAUUUGAAAUUUGUUGGUUUUUCUCUUCUAACUUAUUACCGAGCUCAAGAGUAGAAGCAACAGCUUCAUUCUUUUGUCCUUGUACUGUUGCAAGAUCAUUUUGUAAAUUGGAAUUCACCAACUCCAAGUCUUCAUUAUUCUUAUGCAUAAUAGAAAUCCUCUCAAGUUCCUGUUCCAAGUCAUUACCAAGAUUCUCAAAAGAAGCUUCUAGCUGCUGUAGCUCUGAUGACAGAGAAUUUUUUUCGUUUUGCAGCACUGCUAUUUUAUCGUUCAAAUCACCAUUUGUUGAUUCUAGUUCCUUAACACUUGACUGUGCCUUCUCCAACUCAGUUAGGCACUUGGAAUGUUUGGAUACUAGCAUUUCCUUUUCUUCUGCUGCAGCUCCACGUUCUAUGUUCAUACUGUUCAUUAGCUCCUCUUUCUCUGCAAUCAGAUCAUCUAUCUCCACGCCUAAAAGUUUAAGUUUGCUCUCAAGUAAAUGUUUUUCUUCAGUCAAGGUGCUAUUUUCAGCUUUUGUUUCAGCAAUAGUUGCCUUCAGCUGAGAACAUUCAGUACCUAAAUUCUGCUCACAUGCUUUCAGGUUAUCAUUCUCCCUUGAGAGCAUCAAAUUCUCAUUCUUUAUCUUCUCAAUCUCUGAUAACAAGGUCUGCACUUCUUUCUCAGCUAGCUGGGCCUUCUCGAGUUGGGAUGACAAGAAG
rnacentral:lncRNA from 1 species